UAAAAAAGUCGUAACAAGGUCUCCGUUGGUGAACCAGCGGAGGGAUCAUUACCGAGUUUACAACUCCCAAACCCCUGUGAACAUACCUUAUGUUGCCUCGGCGGAUCAGCCCGCGCCCCGUAAAAAGGGACGGCCCGCCGCAGGAACCCUAAACUCUGUUUUUAGUGGAACUUCUGAGUAUAAAAAACAAAUAAAUCAAAACUUUCAACAACGGAUCUCUUGGUUCUGGCAUCGAUGAAGAACGCAGCAAAAUGCGAUAAGUAAUGUGAAUUGCAGAAUUCAGUGAAUCAUCGAAUCUUUGAACGCACAUUGCGCCCGCCAGUAUUCUGGCGGGCAUGCCUGUUCGAGCGUCAUUUCAACCCUCAAGCCCAGCUUGGUGUUGGGAGCUGCAGUCCUGCUGCACUCCCCAAAUACAUUGGCGGUCACGUCGAGCUUCCAUAGCGUAGUAAUUUACAUAUCGUUACUGGUAAUCGUCGCGGCCACGCCGUUAAACCCCAACUUCUGAAUGUUGACCUCGGAUCAGGUAGGAAUACCCGCUGAACUUAAGCAUAUCAAUAAGC
rnacentral:rRNA from 1 species